rnacentral:misc_RNA from 1 species
GAAGGACGCAACUUGUGAAU